UACGGAGGGGGCUAGCGUUGUUCGGAAUUACUGGGCGUAAAGCGCACGUAGGCGGCUUUGUAAGUUAGAGGUGAAAGCCCAGGGCUCAACCCUGGAAUUGCCUUUAAGACUGCAUCGCUUGAACAUCGGAGAGGUAAGUGGAAUUCCGAGUGUAGAGGUGAAAUUCGUAGAUAUUCGGAAGAACACCAGUGGCGAAGGCGACUUACUGGACGAUUGUUGACGCUGAGGUGCGAAAGCGUGGGGAGCAAACAGG
rnacentral:rRNA from 3 species